GCCGAGGUGGCGGAACGGUAGACGCGGCGGACUUAAAAUCCGCUGUCCCAAGGGGACGUGUGGGUUCGAAACCCUCCCUCGGCACCA
rnacentral:tRNA from 1 species